GGCCGACCAAGAGCAAAAUAGAAGACAACAAUUUCUCAAAGGAGGUUCAAAACUAAUGCCUACAAGAUUACCAAGAGGAGGGUUCGGGGCUCUUACAUGACUCCGGGAAGUCAACACUUGGUGGAUGAGAUCCUUCACAGCAUGUUGUUUCUGGGCAAAAUCAACAACAUCCCCUUUUCUCCAGAAGAAAUCUUCCCUAAUCCUUUUGUGUUGGGUUCUUUAAU